rnacentral:rRNA from 1 species
UACAGAGGUGCCGAGCGUUAGGCGGAAUCACUGGGCUUAAAGCGCGUGUAGGCGGGUCGUUAAGUGUCCGCGUGAAAUCCCACGGCUCAACCGUGGAACUGCCGGGCAUACUGGCGACCUUGAGGCACUCAGGGGCGAGCGGAACAAAUGGUGGAGCGGUGAAAUGCGUAGAUAUUGGGAGGAACACCAGUGGCGAAGGCGGACUCACUGGACCGGAACGUGACGCUGAGGCGCGAAAGCGUGGGGAGCAAAC